CAAAAAAUAGUUUAAAAAAAAUUAUGGCUUUGGGAGUUAUAGAUGAGGAAACUCUUUUUUGA
rnacentral:tRNA from 1 species